GACGAACGCUGGCGGCGUGCUUAACACAUGCAAGUCGAGCGAGAAAGCGGCUUCGGCCGUGAGUACAGCGGCGAACGGGUGAGUAACACGUGGGCAACCUGCCCCAGAGAUUGGGAUAACGUCCCGAAAGGGACGCUAAUACCGAAUAACGCGUGACCUGCCAAGUGGGUCACGCCAAAUGGUAGCCUCGGCCUCUGCUCUGGGAUGGGCCCGCGCCGGAUUAGCUUGUUGGUGGGGUAACGGCCUACCAAGGCGACGAUCCGUAGCUGGUCUGAGAGGACGAUCAGCGCCACUGGGACUGAGACACGGCCCAGACUCCUACGGGAGGCAGCAGUGGGGAAUCUUGCGCAAUGGGCGAAAGCCUGACGCAGCAACGCCGCGUGAGCGAGGACGGCCUUCGGGUUGUAAAGCUCUGUCAGGAGGGACGAAGCCACUCGGGUGAAUAGCCCAGAGGGUGACGGUACCUCCAGAGGAAGCCCCGGCUAACUACGUGCCAGCCGCCGCGGUAA
rnacentral:rRNA from 1 species